UGGGAGUGGAGCUGAAUUCAUCGCUAGACCGUUAAUCCGUUGCUGUUUUUCUUUUCUUUUUGCCGCUUAUCUCGCUUGGUGUGGUCUGUAAUUCAUUUGGCUUCUAAUCUGAAACCUCCUCGCAAUGUUGGUCAUAUGUUUGGGAGUUGGCUAUCAUGUGUCCCCAAAGAAAUGAGGAAUCUGCUUUUGAUGGGUGCAA